rnacentral:SRP_RNA from 2 species
GCCGGGCGUGGUGGCGUGCUCCUGUAAUCCCAGCUACUCAGGAGGCUGAGGCAGAAGAAUCGCUUGAACCCGGGAGGCAGAGGUUACAGUGAGCCGAGAUUGCGCCACCGUACUCCAGCCUGGGUGACAGAGCGAGACUCUGUCUCAA